GAGGACAGCUCCUGGGCUCCACCUUUUCCCUCACGCUGCCAGCACCAGGUUGGCGGCUUCUCGCUCAGCUGCCUUGGCAAGAGGGCAGGUCCAGGCUGGAGCCAGGUGUUGAGUGGCAGCAACCAGGAGGUGCUCCUGCCAGCCCUUCAUGCACUUUUUCUCACUUCUCCCUUCUUUUUGUAAAUAAUCACGCCUGCUUAGAUGCCUGGUGACUCUCAUCUUGCAGCAGGCCACACUGUUGGCCUCCAAUGAAGCCUUUAAAAAGCAGAUGGAGAGUGCUAGUGAGGCGGCCAAGAAGUACACGGAGAAUGACCAGCUCAAGAAGUGAGCUGCUGUUGACGGAGGCAAGUUGGAUGUCGGGAAUGCUGAGGUGAAGUUGGAGGAAGAGAACAGGAGCCUGAAGGCUGAGCUGCAGAAGCUAAAGGAUGAGCUGGCCAGCACUAAGCAAAAUGACAAUGGGCUGCCACCACUCCUUUUCUCAAUCGCACACCAACCAGCCUUUCACACGCAACCCCUCAUGCAAGCCACCCUCACCAGGCCCCUGUGACCCUUGCCAGACUCAGUGAGCAUUUGCAGGUCACUGUCCUUCACCAGCAGCAGCAGCAGCAGCAGCACUGGACAGAUGGAGCCAGCCACUGCUCCUCCCUGACCUGUGAGGGGUCCUCACUGGCUCAGGUUGCAGGACCCCACCAGGAGCUCUCAGGCAUCCUCCCCCAUUGCUGCCGCAUCUUCCCUCUGCCCCUCUCAUUGUGUCCCGGGACUUGCGGCGUCCCUGUGAGCUCACCCAGGUUCAGGGCUUUCAGUGUCAUCUCUAUGUGGUAAGAACUUGCAAAGUUCCAUCUCCAGUACUUUCUGGAACUCCUGUGUCCACCUGCCAACUAGACAUCUCCACUUGGAUGACACUUCCUGCAUGACACACCCAAGGCUGACUCCGGACCAUUCUCUCCUUGCCUCCCCAUUGCAGGACCUGGCAGCUCCAUCUUUCCUCUUGCUCAGGCCAAAUCUGUUGUCCUUAACUCCUCUUUGAGCCCUGCAUCCUGGUCAUGCACAACCCCUACUGGCUCCACCUUCAAAAUUGAUCCCUGAUGCAAAGAGUUAUCCCCUCUGCUGCUAUCAGCCUGGCCCAAGUGACACAAGGCACCUGUUCAGUGACAAAUUCUUGGGGUAACAUUUUGAAAAUUUCAGCACCCAUGGCUUUACACCCAUCCUUCCCCGUGGGUGUGGCUGCUCUCCAGCUCUCUCAUCCUGCUCUCCCCAGGUGCCUCGGCUCCAGGGGGACAAGGUUUUCCCUGGGCUGCUGCCUUCCCUGCUCCCUUCCCAGUCCCCAGAAGGGUGCUGGCCUCAGAGGCCUCCAGAGUAGAGCCUUGCCCACCACAGCAGCUCCAGCUGGAGGAGGUUCCCCCUACUUCCUGCACCUCGACCCCUUAGAGCAGCAGAGGCAGAAGCAGAGGCCUGCUUUGGAAAAUGACAG
rnacentral:lncRNA from 1 species